AGAGUUUGAUCCUGGCUCAGGACGAACGCUGGCGGCGUGCUUAACACAUGCAAGUCGAACGGAUCACCUUUGCUUCGGUUUUGGUGGUUAGUGGCGAACGGGUGAGUAACACGUGAGCAACCUGCCCUUCACUGGGGGAUAACUGUGGGAAACUUCAGCUAAUACCGCAUGUACACCUUCUAUCGCAUGGUGGUUGGUGGAAAGUUUUUUCGGUGGGGGAUGGGCUCGCGGCCUAUCAGCUUGUUGGUGGGGUAAUGGCCUACCAAGGCUUUGACGGGUAGCCGGCCUGAGAGGGCGACCGGCCACACUGGGACUGAGAUACGGCCCAGACUCCUACGGGAGGCAGCAGUGGGGAAUAUUGCACAAUGGACGGAGGUCUGAUGCAGCAACGCCGCGUGCGGGAUGACGGCCUUCGGGUUGUAAACCGCUUUCACCAGGGGCGAAUUUGACGGUACCUGGAGAAGAAGCACCGGCUAACUACGUGCCAGCAGCCGCGGUAAU
rnacentral:rRNA from 1 species